ACACUUCAGCAACCACAAAAACUUGCCGCAGAGGAUGCCCAACAAUGAUAAGGUUGUUACGAACUCAAGAUCAUGGCUGGUACAUUAGCAGAUUUGUUAAGGACCAUAACCACGAUCUGUCAGACAAUUAUGCUGAAAAUAAGCAGUGGAAUUCUCACAACCAAAUAGAUGCCAUAACAAAGGACUUCAUAAGGAAACUGAGAAAUAACAAUGUCAGCAUUGGACGAGUAUGUUCAAUUCUUGGAGUUGCAGAUAGUGCCCAAGCAGCACCAUUAAGGAAAGAAACAGAUGUAUGUACCAAGUUGUCACAGGAAAAUAUGAUAAAUGAUUUGGGCAAAACACUUGAUCUUCUGCAGGAGAUGAAUGAUGCAGACCCAGAUAUGUCAGUCAAAUUCAGAGUGGACUCAGAAGGCAGGUUAGAGUCUAUGAUAUGGUGCACAGGGAAAAUAAACAGGACUAUGAACAUUUCGGAGAUGCAAUAACUUUCGACACCACAUACUGAACAAACCUUUAUAAACUACCUUUUGGAUUGUUUAUAGAAGUUAAUAAUCAUUUCCAAUCAGUGAUAUUUGGAGGAGUUCUGUUAACUACAGAAUGUGCAUCGAAUUUCGAGUGGGCCUUUAGCACAUUUGUAGCUAUUAUGGGCGGGAAAGCUCCGAGAACAAUAUUAACAGGUACAUAAUCUGUAAACUGUUUCUUUGUGUUGUAAAAUGAAGAAGAUACUGAGAUGUCAAUAUAUUCUCAUGCUAGAGUAGUUGAAAAACAUAAAUACUUUGUUAUCCAUUCUCUAAUUUAAGAUUUGGUCAUGUUCUUUGUGUUAUCACAGACCAAUCUUCAGCCAUGGCAAAAGCCAUACGCACGACUCUGAAGCACACACGUCACUGUUGGUGUAGAUGACAUGUCCUUAAAAAGGCAAAGCAAAAGCUAGGCAAUGUAUACUCGAAAUACAGUGGCUUCAAGAAAGAAUUCAACAAGCUAAUCACGGAUGAGACCUGCAAGGAUGAAUUUGAAUGAAAGUGGUCAAGCCUAACGGAGAAAUACAAAUUACAAGACAAUGAGUACAUGAAGAGACUCUUCUAUUAUAGACGGAUGUGGGCAAAGCCAUAUUCCGUGGAUGUAUUUUGCGCAGGAAUGACAAGCACGCAAAGAAGCGAGAGCGCCAACCACAUGCUAAAACAAAUGAUACAGCGUGAAGCCCCAAUGCACCAGUUUGCUGCCAAGUUCAAUGAACUACAGUCAACAAGAAUAGACGACAAAGACAAGCAAAUUCACAUAACAAAGCAGGUAUGCAGAAAGUCUUCAUCACUAUCGCAACAUUGGUUAACAUUUUUUUAUCUCAAACUGAACGAGCAUGUAUGUUUGUAACCGAUAACAAAUAAGCUACGGUUGGGUGUACCUAUUGAAAGACAUGCACAGAUGAUCUACACCCGGGCUUUGUAUGAGAGAUUUUGUUACCUACUCUACAAAUCAAUGGAUUUUGCUAUAAUAAAUCGAAGCAAUGAGAAUAGAUUCGUUGUAGAGCACUCAAUAGACAUUAAUAAAGAGGAUAGUCAGCAAUACAUAGUUUACUACGAUGUUGGCAGCAUAAUUCAUUGCAGCUGUGGGCUAUUUGAGCAUAUGGGGAUGCUGUGCCGGCACGCUCUUAAGGUACUCGUUUCACUAGACCAGACUGAGAUUCCACCUGGCAAUAUAAUGAACAGAUGGACAAAGGUUGCUUCAAAGGAGUUCUCUAGAAAUGAUUGUAGAAGCAAGUCAGGUUCGUUGUUUGCAGACACAGAUAAAAUGAGAAAGAAACUACUGUUGCAAAGGGUUUUAUAGUUGACAAACAUCAAAUCCUCCCUGGGCAAUGAAGUUUUCUCAGCAGCCAUGAGAGCUCUAGGCCAAGGUGAAUCAGAAAAGACAAUAGAAGUAAUUCCAAGGUCAGUGGUGAUGUGGAAAGCAGAGGCCAUGACAAUAACAGCAUCAUACCAUCUGAGCUGCCAAUCCGAGCUUGUGCUGGUGGCAGACCACCUAAUACAUCCAUGAAUUCCUUCCUUGCUGCAUGCACUAAAUAUGUCGGCAAAAAAAUCCAUUGCAAAGAAGCGGGCCAUUGUAGAUCCAUUAGAUGAAGAAGCACCAAUUACAAAGGCUUUGAGGAUGCACUAAAACUAACCACACUUGUAAUGCGUAACCAUGUUGCUAUGAACUAGAACUGACAUCUCAAAAAGGACAUUAUUGAUGUGGAAGGCCAAUGUGCUGAUAUGCCACAUAAUGUUCGGAA